CGUAUUAUGAAGAAUAGAAAAACAUUUUAGUGAUGCGUUUUCGUUUAUUUUGUCGGUAGAAUUUGAUUUAUUUUAAUUUUUCGGUGAAAAUAAUCUUGUUCUUUCUACAUCAUGUGUGUUUAAAGUGAAUUUUAAUCAAUUGGAACCAUUUUACUGUUUGUUUUAAUUCUUGAAACCUUGUCACUGAUGUUCUAACAUAACGAAAAAAAUGGCCCAAACCGAUAAUCUGAGAGUUAUCGAAACCUCGAUGAGCCAAACCUCGAUGAGCCUUACCUCGAUCGUUGCUGACAGAGUCAGCGAAUGCAAGAGGCUGAUCAGCAAAGUAGGACCUCGUAACAGCUUGAUUGGUAACGGCGACCAUCAAAACAAUUUACUUAAAUUCUUAUACGAGCUCGUAAGAGAUGGAGUAGCAGGUGUGAAGAAAAUGAAUAAGGACAAUUUCUUCAAUAUCAUGGAACAGAUAAUCGUAAUGCAUGCUGAUAUGCCAUCCGUAGUAUUGGAUAUUUAUAAUGUGAUGGAUACUGAAACAUGUAACGAUCCUCAAUCUACUGCCCGGUCGAAUCUGAGUUCCAUCGUGAAGUACACGGAAAAGAUGGUUUCGGAUCGUUUACUCAAGGAAAGAUUGGAAAUAGAUACGUUACAAGAGAUGAAAGUAUUGAGCAAUAAGAAUUUCUCAACGAAAUUUAUCAAGAUAAAAACUAAAUUAUACUAUAAGCAGAAAAAAUAUAACCUAUUCCGCGAAGAAUGCGAAGGUUAUGCGAAAUUGAUAACUGAACUGAAUCAGCGCAGCAAUACUCAUAAUUUAUCGUAUACAAUGGAUGUGAUAAAAUCGCUUAUUGGUUGCUUUAAUCUGGAUCCAAAUCGAGUCCUAGAUGUAAUAUUGGAUUCAUUCGAAAGUCAUAUCGACGAAUCCGAGUUUUAUUUACCGUUGCUUAAGGAAUACAUGCCCCAGUCUAAAACCCUAAGCGAUGUAUUAGGGUUCAAAUUUGUAUAUUAUUACGAUUCUUGUAUCACAACGCCUAAAUCAUUGUACAUAAUUACCGCCUUUUUGCUUCAAAACAAGGCUAUAUUGAUAGAAGAUGUUUAUGGCUGGCUUCAACCUGACGAUAAUUACAUUCAUUCGGAAUGGGAGAAGAAAAUCAACGAAGCUAGACAGCGUUUUAAAGAAAAUAGCACAAUUGUUGUAUCAACAAAGGAAAAAGAAAGCGAAGAAGCGGUAGCUCUUGACGAUGAGACGAUGAAUAAGAACGACAAUAACCAGAAAUUUGGUCUACUCGAGGCUCUCUUACGUGUCGGUGAAUGGAACAUUUUCCACAAAAUAUGCAAUAAACUACCAACAACGUUUAUUGUCAGUCAAUACCCAAUAGCGUAUAAUUUAUGUCAACUGAUGCAUUUGCUGAUUGAUCCUCUGUACAGAAAGUAUUACGAAGCUAAACAUAAUUUAACAAACACUACUCCUAAAACGAUCUCCAAUCCUUUGGCUCCAAAGCAAGUUACCACAUUCUUAGAAUUAAAAAACGAUAUUUUCCCAAUGUUAUACACUAUCGGCUCAUACCUCAGUUACGAUCCUGAACUAGUCUACAAAAUCAUGAGACUUUUGAAAUUGGCUCUGAUUCAGGCCGGAGUUACAGAACAAGGACCACCGCCUACAGAAGAUUCGCUGUAUUUUGAAAUAUUGACCGUUUUAGAUUUGACAAUUCUACCUACGUUAUCCGCGUUGAAAGUUAAUUGCUGCGUGGCCGAUGAAAUAUGGGAUAUAUUGAAGCUCUACCCUUACAAUUAUAGGUAUACUUUAUAUUCUCGUUGGAAAAAUGAAACUACCCACAAGUAUCCGGAGAUUCUGAUGCAUAAUUGCGAAGCUUUGAAGAAAAUCAAAGAAAUCAUGAAAAAGAUUACUAAAGAAACGACCAAGUUGGCUGGACGACAGAUCGGAAAGCUCACUCAUUGUUUACCCGGUCAUAUCUUGGAAUAUAUCCUGAAUCAAAUCAUGAUGUUCGAUAACCUAAUCAUGUUGGUAGUCGAAUCGUUGAAAUAUUUAACCGGUUUAUCGUACGAUGUGCUGGCAUAUUGCAUAAUUGAAGUGCUGAUGCAGCCAAAUCGUGUCAAUUCUAAGCAGCAUAACGGUAUGACGGCCGUUUGGUUGGUGAAUUUGUCUGUAUUUUGCGGAUCUAUUUAUAAAAAAUACAACAUCGAGCUAGUCGGAAUUUUGCAAUACGUUUGUAAUCAGAUGAAAGUGUAUAAAAGUUUUGAUUUAUUGAUACUGAAAGAAAUAAUACAGAAGAUGUCCGGUAUUGAAUUCAACGAAGAUAUGACCAAUGAACAACUCAGUGCCUUUUCCGGUGGAGAAAUUCUCAAAUCUGAGGGUGGUUAUUUCACUCACAUUAGAAAUACGAAAAAAUCCAGUUUUCGUUUAAAAGAUGCUCUAAUGGAGAAUGAUCUGGCUGUGAGUUUAUGUUUGUUGAUUGGUCAACAAAGAGAUUGUAUCGUUUAUAAAGAAUCUGCUAUCGUUAAACUUGCUGGAAGUCUUUACGAUCAGUGUCAAGAUACGCUGGUUCAGUAUGGAACUUACCUAAAUGGAGCAUUGAGCACUGAUGACUACGUCACGAGACUACCACCGAUUGAAUCUUUGCUGACGGAGUAUCACUUGAGGACAGACGUAGCGUUCUUUUUGUCACGGCCCAAGAUUAAUUUCUCUAUUCAGGCAAAAUUCGACGAAUAUCGUAAAACCGAUUCGAAUUCGAAAAAAUGGACAGAUAACAUCAAGUCGGAAAAAUAUUACGAAGCUGUAAACGAAAUUGUUUCGCCGGUUAUCGACUCCAUACGACCUCUGUAUCCGGCCAAAGUAUGGGACGACAUGUCACCCAAGUUCAUCAUAUUAUUCUGGUCGUUAACGCUGUAUGAUCUCGAAGUACCUUGGCAAUCGUAUCAAAGAGAGAUUAAAAAGCUACGUAGCACCAACACCGAUCUACAGAACUCCACCGAAAUGACUUCCAUAAAAAUUAAAAAAGAGAAAGAAAAAAAUACCAAUUUAAUCGAUAAAUUGAGCGAAGAGAUGAAAAAACAACAAGAACACAUACAAAAAGUCAAACAUCGUUUAGAACAAGAAAAACCAUCGUGGUUUCUGUCUCGUAACGUGAAAACGGCCAAAAACGAAACCAUAACUCAAUUUUUGCAACACUGCGUAUUUCCAAGAUGUAUUUUCACCAUGGUUGAUGCCAUGUACUGUGCGAAAUUCAUUCACGUAUUACAUUCGCUCAAGACGCCGAAUUUUUCCACCUUACUCUGCUACGAUCGAUUAUUCUGUGAUAUUGUUUACUCAGUUACUUUGUGUACGGAAAACGAAGCCAGAAGGUAUGGCGGAUUUUUAUGCGCCGUUUUGGAAACUGUCAUGAGAUGGCACGCUGAUAAGGAUACAUUCGAACUGGAAUGUGCGACGUUCCCUGGAUUCGUCACCAAGUUCCGUGUCAGUAACCAAUACUCCGAGGCCAACGAUCAUGUCGGAUAUGAAAACUACAGACACGUGUGCCAUAAGUGGCAUUAUAAAAUUACCAAAGCUUUGGUCGUUUGUUUGGAAUCGAAAGAUUACAUACAGAUUCGUAAUGCGUUAAUUAUCCUCAUCAAAAUCCUACCUCACUUCCCAACGCUCAUGAAAUUAGCGCAGAUUAUUGAGAAAAAAGUCGAAAAAAUAAUCGAAGACGAGAAAACCGAAAGUAGAGGAUUAGCGACGUUAGCCGUCUCGUAUAAUGGUUUGUUGAAAGCGAAAAGCCCUCAGUUGAUGAGAGAGCAAGAUUUCCAUCUGGUGAGUGCUCUGAAGCUGGCCAAUGAAAACGUUCAGCAAAAAGCCGCCGCCAAAUUAAACGGUAACGUGUCCUCUCAGGUGAGUUCGAAUCAAUCGAACAAGGCAGAGCAACCGGUUCAAUCAGGCUCUAAUAGUUCUUCGAUGACUAACGCUAUCAGCGUAGUCGUGUCCAAGGAGACCGGACGAGAUGAUUCGGAUAAAAGUAAAGAUCAAUCCAAGUACGUUUCUUUAUCGAGUCAAGAUUCAGAAAAAUUGAAAAUCAUCGAUUUGGUUCAAGAAGAUAGAAACGAAGGAAGAAAUUCAUCAUACGAACGUUCUUCACGAGACGACUACUAUGACAGGGAAAAGUCAUCGAAAGAUGAAAAACGCGACGUUGAUAAAAAGCCGAAAGAGAAAAAGAGUAAAGAAGAGAAAUUAAUCUACGAGGACAGACGAGAAGAAUACCGAUCCAAAGAAGAAUCGUUGAUAAAAUCCAGCUCAUAUCGUGGCGGUUCAAAUAAUUCGUAUCAGGAGUACUCCUCUCCUCGCGACGACGUAAUCGCCCAGCUCAAAAUAAUCGAAAGUUACGACAGAGGAGAACCUAAACGAAGAAAAACCGCCGGCGUGUCAUCGGCCAAGGUAAGCAUUCGUAAUGACGGAAAGUGAUGCUCUCUCGAUAGAAGAACGCACGCGUUGUUACCGGGAGAAACUCGAAAUGCCUACCGAACUCUAUGCGUAGUAGUGUGAACCACGAUGAUGGAAUUACAUUAAAACGUAAAGUGCCAAAGAAAAGUUGAAGUGCCCUAAAUCGUGCUCCGAGAAGCUGAAUCAGAAAAAAAUGCAAAGUCCAUGAAUCUCUUCGUUUCGCCGAGUAUUUUAUUCGUGUCGAAAAGAUGGCUGCGCCGCGCACGUGAAAUUCAAUCAUUGUGCAAUUAAGCUUCGAUUUCGUCUGCCAUUUUGCCAUUAUUGAUGAUCGAAUUGUCGUGCUCGAGAUCAAGAUUACGUUAUGAAAAUUAAUUCCCGACGAACCGAUCAUGCUUUUGGGUCUCGAUCGGUUGCUGUGUUUUUGCUUGAGCCGAUUUGACUACGAUACGACUCCAGUUGAUCAUUUUGUGAAGAAUUGUCGAACAGUCUCUACGAGCUGUGCAGUUCGAUGCGUUAAUCUGCGACGAAAUUGCUGCCAAGUUUCCGGAGUCGAUGGAAAAAUGACUCCGAAGAAUCAUUUUGGCGGCGGAAGGCUCUUAUCAGUGAAUUGUGGAUGUCCAUGCGAAUGACAUUAUUGAUUAAUCGAAAUUCCGAGAUGUUCAAUCGCCGUUCUGAGAAGACUCGCUCCAUCGUCGUUCCAACAUGAUUCGAUAAACCGUAAAUAAAUUUGAUAUCAGUGACUGGAGUCGAUAAAUGUUCAAAAAAUAGUCGAGUAACGAGAUCAGUCGUUAUGCUGUGGCUAACAUGUUCAAUAAUUUGAAUAGUUACGAUGUUCCAAUGAUUUUAUCAACGAAUUCCAUGGCUCGCACGUGCUCUGAUUGUCAUUCUUGAUACGAUUGCUCCUGAAAUGUUCAUAAGACGAGCCCAGAUGAGCGUUCAUCCGACCAACUACGACUGAAAAGAGUUGAUUACGCAGUUUCGUCGAAAACAGUGCCAAAAACCUGAAUUGAUGGACGACUUCCAUGACUCGCACCUGUUCUGAUGUUAUUCUUGAUACGAUUGUUCCUGAAGUGGUUAUAAGACGAGCCCAGAUGAACUUCUGUCCAACUAACUGCGAUUGAUAGAUCUUAUAACGCAGUUUCACCCAUAGCAGUUCCAAUAAUCCGAAUUAUUCGUCCAAUUCCGAUAUCCAUUCACAAACUGUAUCCGAUCCGAAGAUUUAAACGCUAUUUUUAACGAUCGAUCGACAUCGUUGAUCAAUUAUGAGAUUCGCUAUGUUGAAAAUCACCAAAAUAGACGAUUUUAUUUCACUGACAAUCGAAGAAGUGGCUGUGAUGAUGCUCUAUACAUUCAAAAUGAAAUUCAGAAUUGUUGCCAUUGAUUGGAUAAUCCGAACGUACGUUAUUUGCCAGUACUACGUAUUAAUCGAUCUUGGAGCCAUUAAAAAAUAAUGAUCGAUGUGAUCGGAGAAAUGUACGAUAUCGAUCCGCGAAGCAGUUACCAUAAUUACUCAGAUGUCUGUGAUACCCCAUCCGUCGAAAUGAAGAUACUACGGGGCCAUUUUUCACACAGUGUUCAAAAUGAUGCAUUAAAUCGACGAAGAAAACUAAGUAGAAGACUUCACUCGAAAUUCUGGUUCUAAUAGUGCAAUAAGAUUCGUUAAUUUAGACGAUAUUGAUGCUGGUAAACGAGUUGCCUACCAUCCAACAAGAAGAGUUCAUCAAUUUAAACCAGUUCCAGACGUCGAUCCAAUCCGUCCUUCGAAAAAAUAAUCCACCAAUUGUUCCAGUAGUCCGAUUCGACGUAGAGUUAGACUGUACUUAAUUUCAGCAGUUGUUUCAUGUUCAAUUGUGUUCGGGUUUCGUUACGUUGUGUUCGUAUCGUCGUGUUAAGCAAAAUUUCUUAACGUAAUUUUGUCCGUGUGAUUUGAG